CACGUAGGGUGCGAGCGUUGUCCGGAAUUAUUGGGCGUAAAGAGCUCGUAGGCGGUGUGUCGCGUCGGCCGUGAAAACCUGCAGCUUAACUGUGGGCGUGCGGUCGAUACGGGCAUCACUGGAGUUCGGCAGGGGAGACUGGAAUUCCUGGUGUAGCGGUGAAAUGCGCAGAUAUCAGGAAGAACACCCGUGGCGAAGGCGGUUCUCUGGGACGGUACUGACGCUGAGACGCGAAAGCUAGGGGAGCGAACAGG
rnacentral:rRNA from 1 species